rnacentral:rRNA from 1 species
GACGAACGCUGGCGGCGUGCUUAACACAUGCAAGUCGAACGGAAAGGCACUGCUUGUGUGGGGUGAUCGAGUGGCGAACGGGUGAGUAACACGUGAGUAACCUGCCCUUGACUUUGGGAUAACUUCAGGAAACUGGGGCUAAUACCGGAUAGGAGCUCCUGCUGCAUGGUGGGGGUUGGAAAGUUUCGGCGGUUGGGGAUGGACUCGCGGCUUAUCAGCUUGUUGGUGGGGUAGUGGCUUACCAAGGCUUUGAAGGGUAGCCGGCCUGGGAGGGUGACCAGCCACAUUGGGACUAAGAUACGCCCCAGACUCCUACGGGGGGCAGCAGUGGGGAAUAUUGCCCAAUGGGCGGGAGCCUGAUGCAGCAACGCCGCGUGCGUAAUGACGGCCUUCGGGUUGUAAAACGCUUUCGCCUGUGACGAAGCGUUAGUGACGGUAAUCGGUAAAGAAGCACCGGCUAACUACGUG